AGGGUCUCCCGGAAGGAGGAAAAAGUCCCUGCAGAGGGUCUCCUGGAAGGAGGAAGGGCCCCCCCCCCCCCCGCCGCGGACGGUCUCUGGGAAGGUGGGGCUCCAGUUCUAAGUACCGUUGUCACCAAGUGAACAUCCUUACAGAUUUCUAGCAAAAUGCUGCUCAGACCCCUUUCCGAGGCCGCAUGGCCUAAUCGUCCUCGGAGAGACUGACUGACUUUAUCGGGUGCUCGCGGAGUGCCAGACACGGCUUUCAUUACAUUCGGUCCUUGUGGGGGCCUGUCAGGUGGGCGGCACAGAUGCUGCAGUUUCAUGGGUGACGAUAUUGAAGCACAGAGGAGUCAGGUCACCCGUUCAAGGUCACACAUGGAGUAGGAGGCAGGGCCCUCACCACCACCUCGCCAGGGGCCUCAUUGUGAACUCGGAAAGGGCCCCACCCCUCCAGCGACUCCGAAACCCGUGGAGCUUCCCUCUGUGAAAUCCUGAUCGAGGGCUUUGCUCCCAGUGCGCGCCAGGCCCUCUGCCAGGCGGAAAAACAUUUCCUGCUCUGAGCUCAUCUUAGUCUCCUGGGCGGGCGAGGCUUUGGUGCCCUCCGGGAGUGCCGACCCACCCACGUUCCGGAUCAGCGAAACAAACUCGGCGUCUGCACUGGCUUCCCGUCAUCCGAGCAGUACAGCCAAGAAGUGCUCUCAAAAGAUACGUCAACGUCUCUGGACUUCAGUCCCCUGAAGCAAAAUCACAAUAAUGAGAAUCCGCUCCCAGGCCUGCCAUGAACGCGAAGUAGCCCAUAAACAGCAGCUCUGUGCGUGUGUGGACGAGAAAGUGAACGCGAGAGCUCUGCAGACCUCAAUCUCACGCCCGCAAGGAUUUGCCAAUGGCUGCUUAGAAAGCUGUGCUUACCCUGGGCCUCAAUGCAGCUGAUCACUUGGGGCAGUGGCACAGCAGGAACAGGGAGGGAAGCCCUUAUCCCCAGCAGCCACAAGAGUGGAGGCAAAACUUCAUACCCACCUUAGCUUCCCAAUUCCCCUGGCUGUCCUCCCAGCCUAGUUUUUAAAUAUCUGAAUCUUAAGCGUGCACCUAGGAGUAAUCUUAAUAAAUCGCAUCCCUCCCUGAAGGUCCGUCUGCUCUGCUCCUUCAUUGAGGUCUCCCCUGGCAAGCCACCACAGUUAUUCGGAUUCACAUUACUAAGACGCAGCAAGCCUCAUGGCGACUGAGCCCCUAAAUCUGGAGGCGGGGACUGAGGACACAGCCCAGCUGCAGGUGUGGGUGUAAGGGUGGCGUGAGUCCAUCCUGGGAAGGAUGUGUCUGCCCCAGGCUCAGAGUGCUGAGACUCUAGGGAGCUAUGUACCUUCUUGCAGGGAGUCUGUAGGCAUCUCCUUCUGCAAGGGUGAUAUUUCUGGCCCUUUACAAUGAGCGGUGCCUGGGGGCUGGAGGAGAGAACUUAGGGCAGGAGACAGAUGCUCCUGCCAUGUUUGCCACCCUCCCCCACUUGCCACCAUCCCCCAUCACCCUGCGAGAUGAACUCUGGGCUAAAGCAGGAGGGACGACCCCCCUCACCCUGACAGUCAUCCUGGGAGGGUCACAGUCCUCAUCUGACAGCCAAGGAAAGUGGCUCCCAGGGGCACGGGGCUUACCAGGGCCACCUGCAUAGGGGACAGCAGAGGUGGGGCCAGAGGCAAGGCCGGCUGACCCCAGAGCUCAGCUCCUAGACACCACCUCUCAAAGGUCUUGGAACACAGCUUAGAAAAAAGGCAUCCUGGCAUCUCGCGGGGUCUAAGCCACCCCUUGGGAACCAGGUGUGGCCCAAAGCUUCAUAGCACAGGUGUCCUCACAUGAGACUAAGUGGACUUUGCAGGAUGCAACCCUGGUGAGUGUGGCACAGCGUCUCCAAAGAACCUUCCCUCCUUUCCUCUUCCAUCUCUCUGUCACCUCCCUCCCACCUCUCCUUCCCCCCAACAAAUUCUUACUGAGCACCUGCUGGGCAUGCUGUGUUAGGCUCCAAGGGAAUACAAAAUUGCCAAAAAAUAGUCUCAAUCUUUGGGAAGCUCCACAAAUUCAUUUGCCUAUUCAUUGGCACCACAGAUGCUCUCCAGGCCCCCAUGGGCCAGGGACAGUGCCAAGUGAAUGGGAUCCUUGCUCUUGCAGGGCUGGCAUUCCCAAGCAAGAGGCCGACACUAAGGACUCGGGCAUAAACACACACACGUGCGGUGGGGGCCAUGCUUGCAUGCCUGAACAAGAACUGGGCUGGAAUUAGCAGAAAGUUAGGCUUGAACAAAAUAAAAGGACUUGGUUAGACCAGGUCUGAUCCUCAUCUAACAAAGGGGAUGAGGUUAAUAAACUGAAGACAAGCCUUGCGACUAAGGAAGGACAAGGCCUGCCUGGGAAGGGCCCUGAUGGGACCUGGUUCCCCGACCCCGACUCACAGGUGCAAUACCAUGCACCAGGGUCCCAGAGUUGCUGCAAGCAGUGAAUAAAAUUCCCUGCUGAUGAAGAGCUACGGCCAGCGUCUGGCCCAUAGGAAUUGCCCAGCAGACGUUGGGUGAGUCUGCACCGGCAAAGCCAGCUCUCCAGAGUCACCAUUAACGUGGUCACUUUCUCACGGCCUGGGAGGGUGUGAGUCUGACGUGGUGACGUGGGCCACAUUCGCGAGGAUCAGCCUUGGGUCAGAGUGAGGUCUACUCCUUUCUUCAGGGCAGCAGCCCCCUUUCCUCUGCCAGCACCACCAGAAUCUGAGCAGCCUGGCAAAGGCAUACACAGGCUGCGGGCACUCUCUAGGGUGGACGCCAAGGCUUCUUACUGGUCCUCCUCUUGUAACUUUAUUGCAGUAACUUUGGAGAGAGAAAAAAUGGAGCUGCUAACGUUUGCAAAAUUCAUCGCAAACAGUAUUAGAUGGCACUGAUUAAAAUGAC
rnacentral:lncRNA from 1 species